ACAUGCAAGUCGAGGGGAAACGACAUCGAAAGCUUGCUUUUGAUGGGCGUCGACCGGCGCACGGGUGAGUAACGCGUAUCCAACCUGCCCACCACUUGGGGAUAACCUUGCGAAAGUAAGACUAAUACCCAAUGACGUCUCUAGAAGACAUCUGAAAGAGAUUAAAGAUUUAUCGGUGAUGGAUGGGGAUGCGUCUGAUUAGCUUGUUGGCGGGGUAACGGCCCACCAAGGCUACGAUCAGUAGGGGUUCUGAGAGGAAGGUCCCCCACAUUGGAACUGAGACACGGUCCAAACUCCUACGGGAGGCAGCAGUGAGGAAUAUUGGUCAAUGGACGAGAGUCUGAACCAGCCAAGUAGCGUGCAGGAUGACGGCCCUAUGGGUUGUAAACUGCUUUUAUAAGGGAAUAAAGUGAGUCUCGUGAGACUUUUUGCAUGUACCUUAUGAAUAAGGACCGGCUAAUUCCGUGCCAGCAGCCGCGGUAAUACGGAAGGUCCGGGCGUUAUCCGGAUUUAUUGGGUUUAAAGGGAGCGUAGGCCGGAGAUUAAGCGUGUUGUGAAAUGUAGAUGCUCAACAUCUGAACUGCAGCGCGAACUGGUUUCCUUGAGUACGCACAAAGUGGGCGGAAUUCGUGGUGUAGCGGUGAAAUGCUUAGAUAUCACGAAGAACUCCGAUUGCGAAGGCAGCUCACUGGAGCGCAACUGACGCUGAAGCUCGAAAGUGCGGGUAUCGAACAGGAUUAGAUACCCUGGUAGUCCGCACGGUAAACGAUGGAUGCCCGCUGUUGGUCUGAAUAGGUCAGCGGCC
rnacentral:rRNA from 1 species